UGUUAGGGCAAACACUCUGCAGCUGGCCAGACCUUUGACAGAAGUGACAAGUUAAAGAGCUUGGACAGAGCUGGGAGGCUGUUGGAGUGACAUAGAGUGGUGUAUGGAAGCAGGAAGCACCUCAGCAGACAGGAUCACAAUCUGACAGCAGCACAUCAGGAGCUCAGACUCAGCUAGCUAGAGGAGAUCUGCUGGAGAGGACGGACAGAGUAUCUAUUCUCCCACGCUCCAGUGCACCACUAGACAGUCUUCAGAGGACCAGAGAUCCAUAAUGGACAACCCGGACUACCAUCUACGACCAAUCUACCGAAGCGCAGCUCAGAGACCUGAGCCCUAGGACCAUGCCCCAGGACUACCUGACAUGAUGACUCCUUGCUGUCCCCAGUCCACCUGGCCAUGCUGCUGCUCCAGUUUCAACUGUUCUGCCUUACUAUUAUUUGACCAUGCUGGUCAUUUAUGAACAUUUGAACAUCUUGGCCAUGUUCUGUUAUAAUCUCCACCUGGCACAGCCAGAAGAGGACUGGCCACCCCACAUAUGCUCUCUCUAAUUCUCUCUUUCUUUCUCUCUCUCGGAGGACCUGAGCCCUAGGACCGUGCCCCAGGACUACCUGACAUGAUGACUCCUUGCUGUCCCCAGUCCACCUGACUGUGCUGCUGCUCCAGUUUCAACUGUUCUGCCUUAUUAUUAUUCGACCAUGCUGGUCAUUUAUGAACAUUUGAACAUCUUGGCCAUGUUCUGUUAUAAUCUCCACCCGGCACAGCCAGAAGAGGACUGGCCACCCCACAUAGCCUGGUUCCUCUCUAGGUUUCUUCCUAAGUUUUGGCCUUUCUAGGGAGUUUUUCCUAGCCACCGUGCUUCUACACCUGCAUUUCUUGCUGUUUGGGGUUUUAUGCUGGGUUUCUGUACAGCACUUUGAGAUAUCAGCUGAUGUACGAAGGGCUAUAUAAAUAAAUUUGAUUUGAUUUGGUAA